GGAUAUAUGGGUGACUGGAUGACAUCUGCCCCAUCCAUGCUUCAGUGCAUNCCCUCUUCCUCUCUCACCUCUCCAUGCAUCCCUCCCAAAGCUGCAUGUGAGGUUGAAGGAUGACCUUCCCCAGUAGAGGAGGGCUGGCCUUCAGUCAAAGAUAUAUGAAAAGUUGCAUUCCCUGAUAGAACCUACAAAAAAGCACUCAAAAAAGAAGACAAAGAUGAAAAAUUUAAGCAAUUGAGGACUAU
rnacentral:snRNA from 1 species